rfam:Aedes albopictus isolate Foshan contig122834, whole genome shotgun sequence.
UGCCCAGCAACUCCUAUCCCUACCUCCACGCGGUACCGGCCGGAAACUAUGAGCAACCUUAGGGAAGAUCGGGUAACCAACCCCGGUGGGAACUGUGGUCGUAGGCUGACAGGGAAGG